GAAAUGCGAUAAUUAAUGUGAAUUGCAGAAUUCAGUGAAUCAUCGAGUCUUUGAACGCACAUUGCGCCCCAUGGUAUUCCGUGGGGCAUGCCUGUCUGAGCGUCAGCAACACCACUCAAGCAUUGCUUUAUUGCAUUGCCUGGAUUGUAUCAGAGAAGCUGUUGGAUUCACAUUCGACUGCCCUCUGGAAAUCUAUAGAUGGUCAGGUUGUCGUACCUAUGCCAAACGUCAUAUGAUUUAGGUCGUUCGUUUGCAUGAUUUUGACAUCUUGAUGGUCCUUUGAACCCACAGUGUUCUGCUGUUUUAUUUUUCUGACUUGACCUCAGAUCAGGUAGGGAUACCCGCUGAACUUAA
rnacentral:misc_RNA from 1 species